GCCGGGUGUGGUGGCGGGCGCCUGUAAUCCCAGCUACUUGGGAGGCUGAGGCAGGAGAAUCGCUUGAACCCAGGAGGCAGAGGGUGCAGUGAGCCGAGAUUGUACCACUGAACUCCAGCCUGGGUGACAGAGUGAGACUCAGUCUCAA
rnacentral:sRNA from 1 species